GUUUUCAACGGGCAGGUUGGAGCUGCCGACCGCCGUCGGCAGGGAAUAGACGCCGUCUGUUUUGAGGGUGUUCAAAUCGCCCCGGAAGGUU
rnacentral:tRNA from 1 species